rnacentral:misc_RNA from 1 species
GAUGGCAACAUCUCCAGAAAUGCUUUGCUGUUUCUGUCCAUCACCUCUGAGAGAAUUUCUUGAUAUAGUAAUAAACAUGAAAUUUGAUGAAGAACCUAAUUAUUCGAAGUUAAUCUCCUUAUUUGGGAGCUUGCUUGGACCUGAUCCUGCUAUAAGGCCAAUCAACACUGAUGGUGCCCAAAAGAUUCUUCAAGUUGGCCAAAAGCGGGGGA